rnacentral:lncRNA from 1 species
GAGGUCCCUGCCUGCCCUCACCGCUUGGCCUCCUUAGGGCUUCCCUGGAGCAGACGGGCCUCCUGGCAGCCCUGGCCUCCCUGGGACUCCUGGAACCCCUGGCCCGAAGGUGAGCAAGCCUGGCCCUUGCGAGUCACACGGUGGACUCGUGACAUCAGCCGAGGCCCUUUGCGGAGCGGGGUGGGCUGGAUCUGACUUGCCUCUGUUUACAGGGCUCCCCGGGGUGGACCGGGCCUCGUGGGGACCCAGGAGAGCGGGGGCCUCGAGGCCCAAAGGGGGAGCCGGUAGGUGAAGGGGAAAGGUGGGGGAAGGCAGAACGCCCCAGGGAGGAGCAGGGUCACCCCAGGCCGGACCCCGUGCAGGGCCCAAGGCGGGCUAAGCGUCACCUCUGGCUGGGGCACCUCUGCGGUCUUUUACCUGAGGGCACCCGGGCCCUGAAUCCUGCCCUCUGCUCUCUGUCCCUGCAGGGGGAGCCUGGACAGGUCACUGGAGACGGAGGCCCAGGGCUUCCUGGGCAGAAAGGGGCCCCUGGACCCGUGGUAAGUUCGAGGGUGGGUGGGGGCGGGUCAUGGGUCUUGGGGUACCAGCAUGAGGGGAGCAGGAGCAGGGAUCCCCAGGAUGGCACCCUACACCUCAUUUCCUCCAUCAGGGGCCUGCUGGACCUCGUGGCCCAUCGGGGGACCCAGGACCUCGGGGUCCCCCAGGGCUUCCUGGGACAGCCGUGA